UACGAAGGGGGCUAGCGUUGCUCGGAAUUACUGGGCGUAAAGGGAGCGUAGGCGGACAUUUAAGUCAGGGGUGAAAUCCCAGAGCUCAACUCUGGAACUGCCUUUGAUACUGGGUGUCUUGAGUGUGAUAGAGGUAUGUGGAACUCCGAGUGUAGAGGUGAAAUUCGUAGAUAUUCGGAAGAACACCAGUGGCGAAGGCGACAUACUGGAUCAUUACUGACGCUGAGGCACGAAAGCGUGGGGAGCAAACAGG
rnacentral:rRNA from 1 species